AGGGCACCACCAGGAGUGGAGCCUGCGGCUUAAUUUGACUCAACACGGGAAAUCUCACCAGGCCCGGACACCGGAAGGAUUGACAGAUUGAGAGCUCUUUCUUGAUUCGGUGGGUGGUGGUGCAUGGCCGUUCUUAGUUGGUGGAGCGAUUUGUCUGGUUAAUUCCGAUAACGAACGAGACUCUGGCCUACUAACUAGACGUUGGAUCAUUUAUGGUCCUUCGUUGCUUCUUAGAGGGACGGGCGGCGUUCAGCCGCACGAGAAUGAGCAAUAACAGGUCUGUGAUGCCCUUAGAUGUUCUGGGCUGCACGCGCGCUACACUGAAGGAAUCAGCGUGUGUACCCUGUCCGAAAGGACUGGGAAACCCGUUGAACCUCCUUCGUGAUGGGGAUUGGGGAUUGAAAUUAUUCCCCAUGAACGAGGAAUUCCCAGUAGGCGCGAGUCAUAAGCUUGCGUCGAUUACGUCCCUGCCCUUUGUACACACCGCCCGUCGCUACUACCGAUCGAGUGAUUUAGUGA
rnacentral:rRNA from 1 species